CUUGGGAACCAGCCAGUGCUUGACUGGAGGGAGGGGAAGGGGUAGAAGAACAUCCUUCAGGAGGGGAGAAUGGCUUUGGCAAAGAUCUGUGCCUAUAAUCUUGGACGGAAGGAAGGAAGGAAGAAAGAAAGGAAGAAAGGAAGGAAGGAUCCAAAUCAGUCAAUAAGCAUAUUUCAAGCCAAAACACAGUGCUUGUCCUCAAGGAGCUUACCUUCUAAUGAGAGAGACAACGUGCAAACAGCUGUAUGUACAAGACAAAUGGGAGGCAGUUUGAGGGGGAAGGCACCAGCAACUGGAGAGAGCAGGAUGGUCCCCCUGCAGAUGGUGGGAUUGGAACUGAGUCAUGAUGGAAGCCAAAAGACAAAGAAGAUGGAGAGUGUUCUGGCUGUGGGAGAUGAUGGGUGCAAAGACAGAUUUGGGAGAUGGAGCCUGAAGGCCAGUGUUGGUGUUUCACAAUUCUGCUCCUUCCCAGGUAUCCUAGGAUUAAUCACUUUUCCAGGCUGUCACCAACUUUCUGGCAACAAAAAAAAUCACCCUUGAAAUUCAUGUCACCUCAGAGGUAAUCAUGGGAUGGAGAAUAUAAAUGCUGGACGAGACCUUAGAUGUCAUCUACCCUCAUUUCCUCAUUUUGUAGUUGGGAAAACUGAGAUCAUGGAAGGGAAGCAACUCCCCUAAAGUUGUACGUUGAGCCAGAGCCUUGGUUAGAAUCCAGAGAAGUCUUCUAACUCAGGUCAGGAUGUUUUUUCAGGUUUUCAUUUUGGUUUUUACAGUUUUUAAAAAAGGAUUUUUAUUUAAAGUUCAUAUUUUUUAAUGUGUAGGAAUACAAUUAUAAUACUUUAAUUGGGAGAGAGGAGCCUGAUCUAUCUUUUGUUUUUGUAUCACCUUUAAAAUAUCUAAAUAUAUACCACCCCCAACCAGUGAGCCAUUCCGUGUGGCAAAAAUUGAAAAAGAAAGAGGGGGAGAAGCAGCCUAGCAAAACAAUUAGACAAAUUUGACUGGGUCUAUACAUGUCAUUUCCCAUCCUCAUAAAGGGAUUUAAGUUUCAGGAGCAAUUUCCCCAAAUAAACACUGUGAAUGAGGUAGUACA
rnacentral:lncRNA from 1 species